AGUGAACGCUGGCGGUAGGCCUAACACAUGCAAGUCGAACGGCAGCACAGUAAGAGCUUGCUCUUACGGGUGGCGAGUGGCGGACGGGUGAGGAAUACAUCGGAAUCUACUUUUUCGUGGGGGAUAACGUAGGGAAACUUACGCUAAUACCGCAUACGACCUACGGGUGAAAGCAGGGGAUCUUCGGACCUUGCGCAAUUGAAUGAGCCGAUGUCGGAUUAGCUAGUUGGCGGGGUAAAGGCCCACCAAGGCGACGAUCCGUAGCUGGCCUGAGAGGAUGAUCAGCCACACUGGAACUGAGACACGGUCCAGACUCCUACGGGAGGCAGCAGUGGGGAAUAUUGGACAAUGGGCGCAAGCCUGAUCCAGCCAUACCGCGUGGGUGAAGAAGGCCUUCGGGUUGUAAAGCCCUUUUGUUGGGAAAGAAAAGCAGCAGGUUAAUACCCCGCUGUUCUGACGGUACCCAAAGAAUAAGCACCGGCUAACUUCGUG
rnacentral:rRNA from 1 species